GAUGAACGCUGGCGGCGUGCCUAACACAUGCAAGUCGAACGAAGCACUUUCAUUGAUCUCCUUCGGGAGUGAAGUGAUUGUGACUUAGUGGCGGACGGGUGAGUAACGCGUGGGCAACCUGCCUCAUACAGGGGGAAUAACAGUUGGAAACAGCUGCUAAAACCCCAUAAGCGCACACUAUUGCAUGAUAGAGUGUGAAAAUAUUUAUAGGUAUGAGAUGGGCCCGCGUCUGAUUAGCUAGUUGGUGAGGUAAAGGCUCACCAAGGCGACGAUCAGUAGCCGGCUUGAGAGAGUGACCGGCCACAUUGGGACUGAGACACGGCCCAGACUCCUACGGGUGCUG
rnacentral:rRNA from 1 species